UACAGAGGUCUCAAGCGUUGUUCGGAUUCAUUGGGCGUAAAGGGUGCGUAGGUGGCGCGGUAAGUCGGGUGUGAAAUCUCGGAGCUUAACUCCGAAAUUGCAUUCGAUACUGCCGUGCUUGAGGACUGGAGAGGAGACUGGAAUUCAUGGUGUAGCAGUGAAAUGCGUAGAGAUCAUGAGGAAGACCAGUGGCGAAGGCGGGUCUCUGGACAGUUCCUGACACUGAGGCACGAAAGCCAGGGGAGCAAACGGG
rnacentral:rRNA from 1 species